rnacentral:rRNA from 1 species
UACUGGGCGUAAGCGUGCGCAGGCGGUUUGUUAAGUCCGCUGUGAAAUCCCCGAGCUCAACUUGGGAAUUGCAGUGGAUACUGGCAAGCUGGAGUAUGGUAGAGGAAGGUGGAAUUCCCGGUGUAGCAGUGAAAUGCGUAGAGAUCGGGAGGAACACCAGUGGCGAAGGCGGCCUUCUGGACCAAUACUGACGCUCAUGCACGAAAGCGUGGGGAGCAAACAGGAUUAGAUACCCUGGUAGUCCACGCCCUAAACGAUGCGAACUGGAUGUUGGGUACAUUACGGUACUCAGUGUCGAAGCUAACGCGUUAAGUUCGCCGCCUGGGGAGUACGGUCGCAAGACUGAAACUCAAAGGAAUUGACGGGGGCCCGCACAAGCGGUGGAGUAUGUGGUUUAAUUCGAUGCAACGCGAAGAACCUUACCUGGCCUUGACAUCUGUCGAAUCCUGCAGAGAUGCGGGAGUGCCGCAAGGAACGACAAGACAGGUGCUGCAUGGCUGUCGUCAGCUCGUGUCGUGAGGUGUUGGGUUAAGUCCCGCAACGAGCGCAACCCUUGUCCCUAGUUGCCAGCACGUAAUGGUGGGAACUCUAGGGAGACUGCCGGUGACAAACCGGAGGAAGGUGGGGAUGAC